GACGAACGCUGGCGGCGUGCUUAACACAUGCAAGUCGAACGGAAAGGCCCUGCUUUUGUGGGGUGCUCGAGUGGCGAACGGGUGAGUAACACGUGAGUAACCUGCCCUUGACUUUGGGAUAACUUUAGGAAACUGGGGCUAAUACCGGAUAGGAGCUCCUGCUGCAUGGUGGGGGUUGGAAAGUUUCGGCGGUUGGGGAUGGACUCGCGGCUUAUCAGCUUGUUGGUGGGGUAGUGGCUUACCAAGGCUUUGACGGGUAGCCGGCCUGAGAGGGUGACCGGCCACAUUGGGACUGAGAUACGGCCCAGACUCCUACGGGAGGCAGCAGUGGGGAAUAUUGCACAAUGGGCGGAAGCCUGAUGCAGCAACGCCGCGUGCGGGAUGACGGCCUUCGGGUGGUAAACCGCUUUCGCCUGUGACGAAGCGUGAGUGACGGUAAUGGGUAAAGAAGCACCGGCUAACUACGU
rnacentral:rRNA from 1 species